CCGACACAGGUGGUCGGGUAGAGAAUACCAAGGCGCUUGAGAGAACUCGGGUGAAGGAACUAGGCAAAAUGGUACCGUAACUUCGGGAGAAGGUACGCUCUUGAUGGUGAAGUCCCUCGCGGAUGGAGCUGACGAGAGUCGCAGAUACCAGGUGGCUGCAACUGUUUAUUAAAAACACAGCACUGUGCAAAAUCGCAAGAUGACGUAUACGGUGUGACGCCUGCCCGGUGCCGGAAGGUUAAUUGAUGGGGUUAGCGCAAGCGAAGCUCUUGAUCGAAGCCCCGGUAAACGGCGGCCGUAACUAUAACGGUCCUAAGGUAGCGAAAUUCCUUGUCGGGUAAGUUCCGACCUGCACGAAUGGCGUAAUGAUGGCCACGCUGUCUCCACCCGAGACUCAGUGAAAUUGAAAUCGCUGUGAAGAUGCAGUGUACCCGCGGCUAGACGGAAAGACCCCGUGAACCUUUACUACAGCUUGGCACUGAACAUUGAACCUACAUGUGUAGGAUAGGUGGGAGGCUAUGAAGACGUGACGCCAGUUGCGUUGGAGCCGUCCUUGAAAUACCACCCUUGUAUGUUUGAUGUUCUAACUUAGACCCGUUAUCCGGGUUGAGGACAGUGCCUGGUGGGUAGUUUGACUGGGGCGGUCUCCUCCCAAAGAGUAACGGAGGAGCACGAAGGUGGGCUAAUCACGGUUGGACAUCGUGAGGUUAGUGCAAUGGCAUAAGCCCGCUUAACUGCGAGAAUGACGGUUCGAGCAGGUGCGAAAGCAGGUCAUAGUGAUCCGGUGGUUCUGUAUGGAAGGGCCAUCGCUCAACGGAUAAAAGGUACUCCGGGGAUAACAGGCUGAUACCGCCCAAGAGUUCAUAUCGACGGCGGUGUUUGGCACCUCGAUGUCGGCUCAUCACAUCCUGGGGCUGAAGUCGGUCCCAAGGGUAUGGCUGUUCGCCAUUUAAAGUGGUACGCGAGCUGGGUUUAGAACGUCGUGAGACAGUUCGGUCCCUAUCUGCCGUGGGCGUUGGAAGAUUGAAGGGGGCUGCUCCUAGUACGAGAGGACCGGAGUGGACGAACCUCUGGUGUUCGGGUUGUGUCGCCAGACGCAUUGCCCGGUAGCUAAGUUCGGAAUUGAUAAGCGCUGAAAGCAUCUAAGCGCGAAGCGAGCCCUGAGAUGAGUCUUCCCUGACAGUUUAACUGUCCUAAAGGGUUGUUCGAGACUAGAACGUUGAUAGGCAGGGUGUGUAAGCGUUGUGAGGCGUUGAGCUAACCUGUACUAAUUGCCCGUGAGGCUUAACCAU
rnacentral:rRNA from 1 species